UUAAGUGUAAAAUGAAGGCAUUGGGGCACCUGGGUGGCUCAGUCAGUUAAGCAUCUGACUCUGAUUUUUGGCUCAGGUCAUGAUCUCAGGGUCGUGGGAUCGAACCUGGCGUGGGGCUCCAUGGACCUGGAACCUG